CCGAGUUAUACAACUCAUCAACCCUGUGAACAUACCUAUAACGUUGCCUCGGCGGGAACAGACGGCCCCGUAACACGGGCCGCCCCCGCCAGAGGACCCCUAACCUCUGUUUCUUAUAAUGUUUCUUCUGAGUAAACAAAGCAAAUAAAUUA
rnacentral:misc_RNA from 1 species